rnacentral:tRNA from 1 species
CGGAAUAUAGCUUAGCUUGGUAAAGCGCACGCUUCGGGAGUGUGAGAGUGUGGGUUCGAAUCCCACUAUUCCGA